GGGGAUAUGGUGUAGUGGUAUCACAUUCGCUUUGCAAUCUUCUGUCCGAUGCAAAAGGCCCGGGGUUCAAAACCCCGUGUCUCCA